GAGUCAGGGAUGGGAGGCUUCCUUUGU
rnacentral:piRNA from 1 species